UGCGUGUUCUGGUAACGCGUUUUGACCCACGCGCGGAACUCCAGAAUCAACUUUAAUCCGAUUCUUUCUUUUAAUUGAGAUGAAAAAAGCGCGUCAGAAGCUGAGAGCGCGUGCAAAAACAAUCCGCCUUUGAUGUCUCCUUUCAUGUUGGGUCUCAGCUACACAUGAAUGCAGCACAACUGCUGCGAAAAGAACAGAGAAGAAAGAAAGGGAGCAGAUAGUUUUCAUCGAAGUUUCCCCCAAAAAACAAACAUCUUUUUUUGUGAAAUGAAGCUUCCUUCAUUUCAAAAGUUCAUCAGCUGAAACCAAACUGUUGCUCACAAAUGUUGACCUCUGACCUCAUAGCUUCCACUUUCAUCGCUUCACUGGAACUCAUCAGUUAGGUUUCAUAAAGCAUAAAUUAUUGCUAAAAAGCGUAACAGUUAAUAUGUUGCAUGAAUUUGACAAAAAAUGUUGGUCUGAUUCAAAGAGAUGUCAGCCAGAAGGGAUUUAUUCUGAAACUGACAAAAACAGACAAACCGUCCUUUUACUCACAUUUUAAACUAUUUCCUUGUCAUAGUUUGAUUUCCUGGACAUUAAGCUCCUCCUCCUCUCUGGUCUAACCUAAUUUCCGGAAACACGUCUGAUGUCACUUUUAUUUAGACUGAAAGCAACAAUAAACCAAGGCCUAACUAGUUUCUGAGUUUGAAAUCCAAACCUGCAAUCCUUUAAUCAGACGGAUGAGCUGCAGCUAAACUCACAAACCGACAGGAAUUCAGGCAAAGACAGAGAUUAGGAAGAGAAAUACAGAUAAGCUCUUUGAAAAGAACCUUCAAGAAAGUUGGAGGGGUAAGCUGUCAGAGCAGAACCUUUCAGAAGCAUCCGGGUCGGACCCACAGAUGAAGCAAAGCUUCCGGACCGGUCAGAACACAACAGUCCGGCCUGUAAGUUCUAAGUCUCAUUGUCACCUUUCCUUCGGUUUGCUUCGCUUUCACACACGGAACCAGAACCAAAGAGUGAAGCGGGCCGAACCCCCUGAAGACGUCCAGCACUUCCAUCAGCUGGUCAGCCCCCCCGAACCCCCCCAGGUCUUCAGCUCUUAUGUGAUCCACGCCUCUUCAAAGGCAUCCUCGGUUUUCCUCUGCUAAUCCAACGCUGAUGUCACUUCCUGUGGUUCUCCUCCGUUCAUUGGUCCACACGAAGUGAACUGAACCCGAGUCCGUUUACAAGUGAACAGAGACCAGAGACUAGGCUGACCUGCACCAGUUUGGCUGGGCUUCCAGACCUGUCAGAGGACCCCAACCCUGCUCCAAAUCCAAUCUGUCAGAGAAAGGCCGCCCACAGGGGUGGAGUGAAGCACCAACUCCAAGGAAAAUGCUCUUUUAAAACGUUCUUCUAGCAUUUUCUGACGGUGGAGGACAUUUGUAAAGAAGUACAAAGGUAUCAGCGGUUUUUAACGCACUCUAGAGAAAUGAUGAAUCCAUGAUCCUUAACGGCGACUGUGGAUGACGCCGUUUUACCGCCAACACCGUGAAGAACAGAACAGGAACGGUCUGAUGGAAUGCUGAAGAUGCUAACCUGCUGGAUCAGGCUACAUUAACGAUGCUAAUCACUGCUAUGUGAAAAUACAAGCAGUUAAAGUGCUAUUAUCAAAAAAACCUUCAAAAUAAAAGCUCAAGCAACUAAAACA